GCCCACUGGGUAAACACGUUAGCUCCCUUUUAACACAGAUAACUUUUCAAAAAUGUAAAGGGAGUGUCCAGCUUCAUUUGGAAUAAAGAGGAGGAAAUGACUCUCAGCUAUCCACACACCACUCAACAACUGACCACUCCAGAGGAGUGAGAGCCUUCCAUCCAAGGGGAGACCAGACAGGAUUUCUUUCCCAGAUUCCAAAAUGUAUGUUCAACAAUGUUUAUAUCGCCCCUGUCUUCAGCAUGCUGGGGCCGCGGACAUUUUAACAAGAGCGGAAGUCUCUACUUGCUGCAAUGAAUAACACUGUCACAAACUUACCUUCAGGACAAGAGCACCUUUGCCUUUCGGGAUGCUUUUCUUAAUCUAAGUAUACUGAUGGAGGUUGUGUGGCCUUUUGUUUUGAGUUUAGGAUUCUAAGUUUGAAAGUGUGAGGUGCAAUUUUUUAGUUUCAGGCCUAACUUCUUGUGCGGCCCUUCACAAGCAAUUAUCUCCUGCCUUAGUUUUCUGGAUUUUUAAAGGAACUGAUGAUGAUGGGGAGAAGAGAAAACAGGGAUAUAUCCAGAUUUAAAUAUUUUCACCUGUUAUCAAGACCAUAAUAUCAAGUAUUUAUCAAGCAUCUACUCUCAACUUAGCAGUGGACAAAAAAAAAAAAAAAAAAAGAAAAGAAAAAAAGAUGAAACAAUUAUCAAAGAAGAAGAAUAUAGGUUGCAGUAUCAAAAGCACCAAGGAAGAGCUGAGGGAGAAGACCUCAUCUUUGGGUCUGGACAACACAUUUCAGUCAAAUUAGAGACGGACUAAAAGAAGAACUGACCAGCCAGGAAAUGAGAGGACUUAAUAUCAAAUCAGAGGCAGGACAGUUGGAAGAAUCGGCGCUCUGAUCCCCAAAACAAAAGCAGCUGAGAAUUAUGUGACAGCUUUCUACAGUCAAAAGGGGAAGUUUGGGUUGGCGGCCUCAAAGGCUUGGAACCGGAGGCGAGCCACGAAAAUCUCAGGGAGGCAAGUAUCAGUUGAGUAAGAAGAAAUUUCUGUCAGGUCUGUGCAAAUACAACACAAGCUGCCUCAGGAUGUAUUGUGUUUCCCAUUGUGAGAGAUGUUCAAGGAGAGGACAUUUGUACAUACAAAGGAGAAGUUACCUUCUGGUCCCUCCCAACACUGAGGUUCCGCGAUACUUAAUUGUCAUUUUUUAAAUAUUAAAUGUCAUUUGGGUUUAAGCUUAUAAAGCAUCUGAUUUUUGUGAAAGCAAACCAUGAAACCCUCAGGUCAUGAUUGAUGUCCCUGUUGAAAAUGUCAGAAUCUAAGAAGAUCUUACAUAUUAGAAAUACUAACCAUUCAUUCACAUAAGAAACGAUCA